rnacentral:rRNA from 1 species
ACCGGCGCAAGGGUGCGUAACGCGUGAGCAACAUGCCCGUAUCAGGGGAAUAAUCCAGGGAAACUUGGUCUAAUACCCCAUAGUAAAUAUUAAAGGCAUCUUUAAUAUUUUAAAGCUUUGGUGGAUACGGAUUGGCUCGCGUGACAUUAGCUAGAUGGUAAGGUAACGGCUUACCAUGGCUACGAUGUCUAGGGGUUCUGAGAGGAAGAUCCCCCACACUGGAACUGAGACACGGUCCAGACUCCUACGGGAGGCAGCAGUGAGGAAUAUUGGACAAUGGAUGGAAAUCUGAUCCAGCCAUGCCGCGUGCAGGAAGACGGCCCUAUGGGUUGUAAACUGCUUUUAUAUGGGAGCAAUAAGGCCUACGAGUAGGUCGAUGAGAGUACCAUAUGAAUAAGCACCGGCUAACUCCGUGCCAGCAGCCGCGGUAAUACGGAGGGUGCAAGCGUUAUCCGGAUUUAUUGGGUUUAAAGGGUGCGUAGGCGGUUUGAUAAGUCAGCGGUGAAAUAUUUCAGCUUAACUGGAAGGGUGCCGUUGAUACUGUCAGGCUUGAAUUUAGUUGCUGUGGGUGGAAUGUGUGGUGUAGCGGUGAAAUGCAUAGAUAUCACACAGAAUAUCGAUUGCGAAGGCAGCUCACAAAGCUAAAAUUGACGCUGAUGCACGAAAGUGUGGGGAUCAAACAGGAUUAGAUACCCUGGUAGUCCACACU